rnacentral:rRNA from 1 species
CGUGAAGGCUGAGCUGUGAUGGGGAAGCUCCUUAUGGAGCGAAGUCUUUGAUUCCCCGCUGCCAAGAAAAGCUUCUAGCGAGAUAAAAGGUGCCUGUACCGCAAACCGACACAGGUAGGCGAGGAGAGAAUCCUAAGGUGAGCGAGAGAACUCUGGUUAAGGAACUCGGCAAAAUGACCCCGUAACUUCGGGAGAAGGGGUGCUUUCUUAACGGAAAGCCGCAGUGAAUAGGCCCAAGCGACUGUUUAGCAAAAACACAGGUCUCUGCGAAGCCGUAAGGCGAAGUAUAGGGGCUGACACCUGCCCGGUGCUGGAAGGUUAAGGAGAGGGGUUAGCGCAAGCGAAGCUCUGAACUGAAGCCCCAGUAAACGGCGGCCGUAACUAUAACGGUCCUAAGGUAGCGAAAUUCCUUGUCGGGUAAGUUCCGACCCGCACGAAAGGUGUAACGAUUUGGGCACUGUCUCAACCAGAGACUCGGUGAAAUUAUAGUACCUGUGAAGAUGCAGGUUACCCGCGACAGGACGGAAAGACCCCGUGGAGCUUUACUGUAGCCUGAUAUUGAAUUUUGGUACAGCUUGUACAGGAUAGGCGGGAGCCUUUGAAGCCGGAGCGCUAGCUUCGGUGGAGGCGCUGGUGGGAUACCGCCCUGGCUGUAUUGAAAUUCUAACCUACGGGUCUUAUCGACCCGGGAGACAGUGUCAGGUGGGCAGUUUGACUGGGGCGGUCGCCUCCUAAAGUGUAACGGAGGCGCCCAAAGGUUCCCUCAGAAUGGUUGGAAAUCAUUCGUAGAGUGCAAAGGCAUAAGGGAGCUUGACUGCGAGACCUACAAGUCGAGCAGGGACGAAAGUCGGGCUUAGUGAUCCGGUGGUUCCGCAUGGAAGGGCCAUCGCUCAACGGAUAAAAGCUACCCCGGGGAUAACAGGCUUAUCUCCCCCAAGAGUCCACAUCGACGGGGAGGUUUGGCACCUCGAUGUCGGCUCAUCGCAUCCUGGGGCUGUAGUCGGUCCCAAGGGUUGGGCUGUUCGCCCAUUAAAGCGGUACGCGAGCUGGGUUCAGAACGUCGUGAGACAGUUCGGUCCCUAUCCGUCGUGGGCGUAGGAAAUUUGAGAGGAGCUGUCCUUAGUACGAGAGGACCGGGAUGGACGCACCGCUGGUGUACCAGUUGUUCUGCCAAGGGCAUAGCUGGGUAGCUAUGUGCGGAAGGGAUAAGUGCUGAAAGCAUCUAAGCAUGAAGCCCCCCUCAAGAUGAGAUUUCCCAUAGCGUAAGCUAGUAAGAUCCCUGAAAGAUGAUCAGGUUGAUAGGUUCGAGGUGGAAGCAUGGUGACAUGUGGAGCUGACGAAUACUAAUAGAUCGAGGACUUAACCAU